rnacentral:tmRNA from 1 species
GGGGACGCGUGGUUUCGACAGGGGAGGUGUGCUACAGGAUUGCAGGUUGAGGUUGCCGCAACCCUCAUUAAACAGGUGGCAAAAAAUAAUUGGCGAACCUGAACUGGUUCUUGCUGGCUAAAAACAGCUAGCACAUCCAACCUGACCUCACCCUGGCGGGUCAGGAUUGGGUGCCGAAAAGCUGGGGUGCCAUCGCCUGGAUGCUGAUAAGGGCGGUGAAAGAAAAAUCAGCUGGCUUGGCUAAACUCGGUCAGCAGAGGUUAGCCGGGUAAGAUUAAAGAGCUGACUAAGCCUGUAGCAUAUUCUGGGCAGCCUCUUCUGGACGGGGAGUUCGACUCUCCCCCGUCUCCACCA